GCCUUCGUGGUGUAGUGGUCAGCAGGCCCGAAGCGUAACGGAGAAGUCCGUGGUUCGAUUCCCGGUGAAGGCU
rnacentral:tRNA from 1 species